AGGAGUGGAGCCUGCGGCUUAAUUUGACUCAACACGGGAAACCUCACCAGGCCCGGACACCGGAAGGAUUGACAGAUUGAGAGCUCUUUCUUGAUUCGGUGGGUGGUGGUGCAUGGCCGUUCUUAGUUGGUGGAGCGAUUUGUCUGGUUAAUUCCGAUAACGAACGAGACUCUAGCCUGUUAACUAGGCGCACUUCCGACAUCUCAAUUGCCAAGCCGGUCCGGCGUUCGCGUCGCGAUCGCGCGCGGCUUUUACUGUCGGCGUACAAAUUAUUCUUCUUAGAGGGACAGGCGGCUUCUAGCCGCACUAGAUUGAGCAAUAACAGGUCUGUGAUGCCCUUAGAUGUUCUGGGCCG
rnacentral:rRNA from 1 species